rnacentral:rRNA from 1 species
CCAGAGAUGGAUUGGUGCUCGAAAGAGAACGCUAACACAGGUGCUGCAUGGCUGUCGUCAGCUCGUGUCGUGAGAUGUUGGUUAAGUCCCGCAACGAGCGCAACCCUUGCCAUUAAUUGCCAUCAUUUAGUUGGGCACUUUAAUGGGACUGCCGGUGACAAACCGGAGGAAGGUGGGGAUGACGUCAAGUCCUCAUGGCCCUUAUGGGUAGGGCUUCACACGUCAUACAAUGGUCGGUACAGAGGGUUGCCAAGCCGCGAGGUGGAGCCAAUCCCUUAAAGCCGAUCGUAGUCCGGAUCGUAGUCUGCAACUCGACUACGUGAAGUCGGAAUCGCUAGUAAUCGCAGAUCAGCCAUGGCGCGGUGAAUACGUUCCCGGGUCUU